rnacentral:rRNA from 1 species
GGGAAUAUUGCACAAUGGGCGAAAGCCUGAUGCAGCCAUGCCGCGUGUAUGAAGAAGGCCUUCGGGUUGUAAAGCUCUGUCUUCAGGGACGAUAAUGACGGUACCUGAGGAGGAAGCCACGGCUAACUACGUGCCAGCAGCCGCGGUAAUACGUAGGUGGCGCGCGUUGUCCGGAUUUAUUGGGCGUAAAGGGAACGCAGGCGGUCUUUUAAGUCUGAUGUGAAAGCCUUCGGCUUAACCGGAGUAGUGCAUUGGAAACUGGGAGACUUGAGUGCAGAAGAGGAGAGUGGAAUUCCAUGUGUAGCGGUGAAAUGCGUAGAUAUAUGGAGGAACACCAGUGGCGAAGGCGGCUCUCUGGUCUGUAACUGACGCUGAGGCUCGAAAGCGUGGGGAGC